rnacentral:tRNA from 1 species
UCCCUGGUAGCCUAGCAGUUAGGGAUCCCACAUUGUUACUGUUGUGGCUCAGGUUCAAUCCCUGGCCGAGGAA